AGAGUUUGAUCCUGGCUCAGGAUGAACGCUAGCUACAGGCUUAACACAUGCAAGUCGAGGGGCAGCAUUUUAGUUUGCUUGCAAACUAAAGAUGGCGACCGGCGCACGGGUGAGUAACACGUAUCCAACCUGCCGAUAACUCGGGGAUAGCCUUUCGAAAGAAAGAUUAAUAUCCGAUGGUAUAUUUUCUCCGCAUGGUGAGAAUAUUAAAGAAUUUCGGUUAUCGAUGGGGAUGCGUUCCAUUAGUUUGUUGGCGGGGUAACGGCCCACCAAGACCACGAUGGGAUAGGGGUUCUGAGAGGAACGGUCCCCCANAUUGGAACUGAGACACGGUCCAAACUCCGUACGGGAGGCA
rnacentral:rRNA from 1 species